rnacentral:lncRNA from 1 species
GUGCAAGCAACACCAGUUUAAAUUCAUAUGUCUCUUAAUCUUGCACCCAUUCAUAAAUACACAGUUUACAUUUUCUUUACACAUCGGCUCUGUACCAGCCCUAACAGCAUCAAUAGUACGACUUGCAUGGCAAGAUGCCAGAAACAAGAUAUAUAUUGGUCCAGAAAACUGGAAGCAAAGCAGAUUAUACAGAUGGAACAGAGGGCACAAACUAGGGAGCAAUCUGUGGCUGCUACAAAGGCAAGGAAAGAAAAUGCUUUUAUUUUGUGCCUGUUACUUUUAAUUAAGUCUCCAUCAGGGCUUUUCUAUACGGGGUCUGAGAUUAUCAAGCUCAGAAGUAGGGGAAAUAAUGAAUCUAAAAACAUGAAGAACUGCAUCUACCAAAAGAAUUUGGGUGGCUCAGGUGCUGGAGAACAUUAUAUAAAUGUGGCAGAAGAGUUAGGAAGUAGCUAAAGACAAGAAAACAGUAUGCAGCAUUUUCAGCAUCUUGACUGGGAAGGGAAAAAAACAGAGCAGAGAAAUGGUGAACAUUAAUCCAAUAUUUCCUUAUGCUGGCACAGCAGCUCUGGAUACACAACAGGAGAUCACACUUUGGAGCAGCUGACCCAGAAAGCUGGUUUUUGCGUGACUGAACUGAUACACACUUCUGGGGCAAUGGCUUUGGACAACUUGCUGCAACCCAAAAUCAUCAGUGACUUCCAUGCAAAAUGAUUAGUCUCUCUUUCCUUAAUGUUUACAUCCUUCAAAUACUGGUAGAAAAUAACAAGGGUUCCCUUUAGUCAUUGUUUAAACAACUGUUCAUAAUUUCUUCUGUAAAUCUCUCCUCAGAUGUCAAUCACUCCAGUCCAUUUUCCGUAUUUGUUGCUCUUUCCAGUCUUCCUUCCAUUUUUGUCUGCAUAUUUUUAUAUUGAGGUGCUUAAAGCUGAAUGCAAAGACUGCAAAAUAUGUUGUUAUUGUAUCAUUUAUUAUUACUGAUAUUAUCUUUAAAUCACUCAAGUAAACACUGAAUUUAUUGCAUACUGUCCUACAAUACAUUUUUAAGAGGUCUUAAUAUUAUUCAAAACCUUCACUGUGCUAAGCUCUAUAAGCACCUAUCACGAGUAAGACAGUCCCGGCCACAAGAAGCCAACAGCCUUAGUAUACUGUGAAGGAACACAUGGAGAAAAACAAAUGGGAGAAAACAAGGUAAUAAGUGAACGUCUUCAUUCUGCGUAUCUGAAAGGAAACAUGAUCUGGAUAUGCCAAAAACUUUACUUUAUAGUGAUGCUUAACAAAGCAUUGGGAGAGUAGACAGGGAAGAGGAGAAGAAAAUGUUUAGCACAUGAUGCAUUGCAUAGUAGUUCAUUGAAGCAUGGUAUGAAGUCAAGGGGGAAACAUGAAAUUAUAAUGAGGUUGGCUAAGAAAGAUGCUAAAAUAGUCUGCAAAAAUGAGAAAUAAACUAUAAUAUUGCCACCUGAAUCA